GAUGACAGCUGCACCCCCAGCGUGGGAUGAGCCUGUGGUUGAGUGGCAAUGCGUCUGGGGACGUGCCCAUCAGCUCCCCAUGCCAGCUGGCACAGAAACGUGCUGUCAGCCACAGCAGGCAGAAACCUGCAGCACUUCCAGAUGGCGAUGGCUUUUGGCAGACACCUCUCCACCAGGAGCCAGCCUCUCCCACUGCAUGGGUCCUCUGCUAAGGGGUCCCAUUUCAAAGCCUGCUGUUUGGGUUUCCUCUCCACCAAAGAGCAUUUCGUGAGACACGAGACAUUGCUCAGUGCAUCCUGUUUGCAGGCUGGCUGUCCUUGCUGAGCGCUGUGAUGCUCCCAGAAGAUGCACUUAUCCUCGACAUGAGCAAGCACGUGCUCAUGGAUUGCACAAUUGCCACUGUCAUUAAACAGCUUGAGAAGUAGACAGGGACAGCACCCACAGAACAGGCUGAGCCUACCGGCCUCACUAGAAGGGAGUAGGGUCUGGGCCUGGUUGACCUUGGCUGACGCUAUCGCCUCUGGAGGAAAGGCCAUGCCCCUGCGUGAGGCUGGUCAGACAGCAGCAUUUGAUGUGAUCAUCUUUGCCCCACUCCACGUGUGGCUAUUUUAGACCUGAGUUAACCAGCCACAACUUCAGCUGCCAUUGUAACUUUGUGGGCUGGGAGCUCUCCUGGAAAAGGACAACAGCAAGUUCAGACCUGUGUUAUACAUGUCACAGACACAGGCAGUGUGCACAGAUAAAACUAUUUCCAGAGUUUGUCCUAGGUGCAUUAGUGUUUCUGAGGUUUCCUUGCAAGCCUCACCAUAUCCAUCAAGGCUGACCAUAAACCCAUGGGAUGCUAUCUGGACUCACAACAAAUCAAAAUUGCUUAAUACAGAGCUCACUUAGUCUUCUGUAUCUCUGGGAAGAACCUUGUCAAAGCAGAUGCACUGUCAGCAAGCCUCAUGCCAGAGACAGGCAAGACCUGAAGAAAUAGCAAUGUGCAUCCAGCUGGUAAUAACUUGGUCACCAGGUACUGGCCAGAAGCAGGCUAAAACAUGGUCAGCAGACCUUACUUAUUGCAAAAAUCUUUUGCUAGCUCCCUGGGAACUGCAGGAGAGCUAUUCCUCCAGGAUGGGUGAGCCAGGCAUACUGGGGACAAGCACUUAUUCUCCAAGCUGGACUGCUGAUAGUGAUCACAUGAAAAUGUUCAGGCUGAAAAUCUCCAAAGGCUGUAUGACAGACAUCAAGGCACCAUUGAACACUCAGCUUCCUUUUGCCAGCCAGCCCAGUGACCACAUCUAAGCCAGAAGAUCUUGCCCAGUAUUGCUGAAUAGAUCUUCAAGAGCGGAGAAACCAACAUUACCAGUAAUGCUCUUGACAGCAGCCUCCAGGCCAACUGGUCUGGAUCACUGAUGGAUGGAUAAAGGAGAUGCACCUCUCUCGCCAAGAUCAAACAUGCUGAAUUAGCAUGGACUGCUCUGUGGCAACCAUACAGGCAGGGAGCAGCUGUCUGAACCUAGCUGUUGAGGAUGUGAGAGCCGCAACCAAGCCGGCAGCCAGACCCCACGUUCCCUCCUGUGGAUGAUGCCCUCAGUGUGCCCGCCUGGUCCCAUCGCAGAGACAGCAGAGUGACAGCCGUGGCAGCAGAGUGAGCAAUGCCCUGGAGCAGAACGGCACUGCUGGCACACGGAUGGAUGGCAUCCCAGCCCCGGCCACCGGAGAAGAGCGGCGCACCGGCAGCCUGGAGCAGCAGCUGCGGGGGCCAGGCCCGGCGUGGACCCCUAAG